rnacentral:rRNA from 1 species
GGAGUUAGCCGGUGCUUCUUCUGUGAGUGAUGUCCUUCCUGCCGGCUAUUAACCCGCAGGCCUUCUUCCUCACUGAAAGUGCUUUACAACCCGAAGGCCUUCUUCACACACGCGGCAUGGCUGGAUCAGGGUUGCCCCCAUUGUCCAAUAUUCCCCACUGCUGCCUCCCGUAGGAGUCUGGGCCGUGUCUCAGUCCCAGUGUGGCUGAUCAUCCUCUCAGACCAGCUACGGAUCGUCGCCUUGGUGAGCCGUUACCUCACCAACCAGCUAAUCCGACAUAGGCUCAUCCGAUAGCGCGAGGCCCGAAGGUCCCCCGCUUUCCCCCGUAGGGCGUAUGCGGUAUUAGCCUGGGUUUCCCCAGGGUUAUCCCCCACUACCGGGCAGAUUCCUAUGCAUUACUCACCCGUCCGCCGCUCGCCACCAGGGAGCAAGCUCCCCGUGCUGCCGCUCGACUUGCAUGUGUUAGGCCUGCCGCCAGCGUUCAAUCUGAACCAAGAUCAAAUUCUGA